CUAAUUCUGCCGAAAGCUUUGAUCCCAUCUCACCUUUCUCCUUCGCGUUUUAUCCUCACGCGCAACGACCACCCGACGAUCAACCUCACUUUUUCUCCCCGACACGCGACGACCACUCGACGGCAACCUUCUCUUUCGUGUUCACCCCUGACGGCAGCCUUCUCCUUCGACGUUUUCUCCCUGAAGCGUGACAGAAGCCUUCUCCUUCAGCGUUGUUUCGUCGAAAAUAAACUCAGCACUGUCAGAGGGAAUUGACCUUCGAUAGGUCGCCCUCUUUGAGGUUUCUUGGCCACGGGAAGAAGGCAAAUUCUUUGUUGAAGUUUAAGCUAGAGAUCGUUGUCCCUAAUAGAUCUGGUCCUGCAGCCCUAUCAACUCGUCAACUAGGUUAUUCAUAAAAAGCAAAAAGAACGAACGAUGCAUUAUAAAUAUCAUCACAGACUGUCUCGCAAGGGUUACAUUGGCUUAGAGGCUGAGUUGAGGGAGAAAAAAUUAAUUGCAGAAAAUGAGGAAGUUGAUAGAUCGAUACUUUGGCGUAAAGCCCUCGAGUACAAAUCUGGCAACAUAACAAAUAUGGAGAUAGCAGAAGUUGCUGAAAAAUUUGAUGACUUGUUGGAAAAGAAAGUCAAAGGAGAGUUCAAAUCUUCUGGGAUGAAUGAUGUGUUAACCACUGCCUUUCAAAAGGACCAGGUUUUAAACAAUUGACAGGUAAUCUUAAACAAAAUGGUGGUGUUAAAUGUGGAUAUUGUGUGAUGCGGUAUAUGAAAGAGAUAAUUUUAGAUGAAUAUCCACAAUUAGAGAGAAAGUUUGCAGCAUCAAAAAAUAAAUAGUAUUACAAUCAAUCUCAGUAUGAUGAAGUCAGAAGUGAAUGGAGCGAAUUCGUCUACUUCUAUGUGGGUGCCUAAGUGUAGGCUGUGAUAUAAAUUUUAGACAUGUAUUUAGAGAUUUAUGUACAAAGGUUUUUGGGUUAUGGUUAAACAUGUCUUUUAUAAAUAUACUUUUGGAUUGUAUUUGAUACAUAUUUGUGAUAUAUUUGUUUAAUUUUGGUAGUAAAAAAUAUUG